rnacentral:misc_RNA from 1 species
GAAAUGCGAUAAGUAAUGUGAAUUGCAGAAUUCAGUGAAUCAUCGAAUCUUUGAACGCACAUUGCGCCCGACAGUAUUCUGGCGGGCAUGCCUGUUCGAGCGUCAUUUCAACCAUCAAGCCCCCGGCUUGUGUUGGGGACCUGCGGCUGCCCGCAGGCCCUGAAAAACAGUGGCGGGCUCGCUGUCACACCGAGCGUAGUAGCAUACAUUCUCGCUCAGGGCGUGCUGCGGGUUCCGGCCGUUAAACGACCUUCAUAACCCAAGGUUGACCUCGGAUCAGGUAGGAAGACCCGCUGAACUUAAGC